rnacentral:misc_RNA from 1 species
UUCUUAACAGCUCGUUUGGAUUCGCCGGUUGAAGUUUUUACAGUGACUACUCUCACGACACCGUCGGUUCCUGGAUGCACCUGUACUACUAUUCCUAAUGCCCAAUGCAGCGGUGCUGUGUUGUCAUCAACCAGCAAUACUAAGGUUCAUUAGGUGAGACCCCUAUAAGGAAGUGAGAAGGUGUUAAAGGAGAUAGAUCGUGAGGGUCGGAAGAAAGAGGAGUCAAGGGCCUGGAAUUUAAAACUGCUUCAAUUUCUACCAGGAGCGUAUAAUACUCUUCAUUUGGACCUGGCAGGAGCCCAUCAUUUAGAGAAGUUUGGAGCGAUAUCUUCGCCGAUCCAUCGAAAACAACUCUAACCUUUGUCGUAGAGCUUUCAGCCCUUAUGACAGGAUGAUGUGG